ensembl:lncRNA
AAGGUAUGGUGGUGGGUUUAUUAACAUCCACCCCACGUGUGUGCUCAGUGUUGGGAAAUAUCCUGUGUGGCUGGGCUUCUGGGAGCGUUCACUCAGGAAAUCGUUCUGUGAAGUAUGUCUGUUCUUUUGGGAUUGUCAGUUGUCUGGUGACUGUUUCUAGAAGAAUAUGUAAGAUAAUUGGGAUGGUACUAGCAGUCCGUUAGUCCAAGUUUUUCUGAUGUCUCUAAUUCUCUUUGGCCAAAAGACUCUGGUUUAAUUAUGCAGAUCAUCUAUUUUAGAGGUUAAGAUGGCUUCCCGUAUUAGCAUCCCUUUGAUACUUUUUCUUGGUAAAUAAUUUAACUUCUCUAUAUGAAAUACAGUACCUAUUUUCCUGUAUUCAAUCUACUGGAUUAUGUAUAUGACUAACUUUCUAGCCCAAAGUGGUGAUAUUUUCAUCUUUUCCUUUGUUUGCUUUAUUACUUAUUCAUUAUAUAUUUUGAAUUGUAUUUUCAUAUGAACACACAAUUAAUUUGAAAGUUCCUUUUACUUUUGAGGUUCAGUAUUGCUCUGCUUGGAGUUGCAUCGUUUGUGAUGAGUCCCUUUUCGAAAAGAGACUUUCCUAUAUUCUGCUGAAUAUAUAUAUAUAGUUGAAAAUAACAGUGAAUCCCUGACUGUGGAUUGGAGUUAUCUAAGUUUAGUUUCGUUUUCCUACACUAAUUUAAAUACAGAGAAGAUUCUUUAUCUUGUUUAAAGCAUAUUUUAAAUGAUAGGUACCAAGACCACUUAAUUUCUUAAACUCGCUUUUAUCAUGGAAAGGCAAAGACUGUAGCAAAUGGCUUUAUUCACGUGAGCUCAAGUGAAUGAAAUUGUGCACUCCAGUGUUCCUGUUCUGCAUCAGAGUAGGUAUCUGGUCACCAAAGAAAAAGGAUUAGAAAUUUUGAAAAGAUCAGUUUAGUAUUAGAGAAGAACAAGUUUCCAAAGAUGCACCGAGUUUGUUCUGAUUCUUGUCUGCUAUGCUGGUGAAUCACAAGUGGAGUUAUUUUUCUGAACCUUCAGUCUAAAUGAGCUUUUGGCUGUCUGGAUUAAGUCACAGUUUUGCCCUGGUAGUUCAGAAUGGCCUCUUGAAAGGCCAUGCGUAAGUGCAUCAGCUCCUAGGCAGCCAGGGAAGUUGGGGGGGGAAUAUUAUUAAGAAUUUCUCGCUGCUGAACUUCUUGGUAGUAGGAAGCAAAAUGAAUUUCUUUCUGAAAAUGUUCUUUAUGUUCUCAUAAUUGUUAUAGGUGACCUAUCCGUGUGUAAAGUAUGUGUCCUUGGUAGCCUUGCAAUAGCUGUAGCUGUGGUAGGACAUCUCCUAUCAACAUCUGUGUGAACUGGUGUUUCCACUAGGGCCUCGGUUCUCUCUUGCCCAAUGAGGAUGUGAGCAUUUGUUUUUGUGGAGUAUUUGAAUUCUCCUCUGGAGUGCACAAGCAGCAGUACAGGUAAUACAAUUUCCAAGGCUGUCUCUAACUGUUGCUUCCAUCCGUGCUUUGCUUGCUUUGUAGGUCCCAUAUGCCAACUUUACUGAAUGUGACUUGCUAGCAUUUAUCACAUGUUGUCACAUGCUACUGGUAGUAGUUCAGAAGACUUUUCUCUAGCUGUAUGUGGGAAGAUAGAUGUAUGAAAACAGAUGAUGCCCCUAAGGGCACAGUGAGAGGGAAUUCUUCCCUGGCCUUAUCGUGAGCAUUAAAUCUUGAGUUUUAAAAUCUGCAACUCUAAAAUAAUUAAAAUACUUCAUAUCCGUAUGCAAUAUUUACAGGAUAUAUUCUGUAAAUAUAGUCAUCAUUUUCGAUUCAUGUGUUGGAACUUGGCGCACUGUGGAAACUCGUAUUACCUCUUAGUGACUGGAAUUCUUUAUUUUGCUCAUCCUUUCAAGAAGAGGAGUUUUGCUGCAUUGUGUUCUAAUAUUUUAAUUGCGGACACUGUAUGCUAUGUGUAUGUAGAUGGAGAAGACAAAACGUUAUCGUGAUGUUGGGUUUCUUGCAGCUGGGUAUAUCUUUUCUAUGUGUUGGCAGGUUUUGAUGAGGUGGUUGAUGGAGUUAGCUGAGGCCUUGCUUCUGCAGAUGAAUUUGUGUGGCUCAGAUGAGUGCUUUGAUGCACUAUAAUCAUUUUCAGGAUCUAAAGGGGGACUAUAAGAAGGGGAUGGAUUCUUUAGCAGGGUCUGUUGUGACAGGACAAGGGGAGAUUAUUUCAAACUAAAGGAGGGAAGACUGGAUAUAAGGAAGAAGUAUUUUGCAGUAGGAGUGGUGAGGUGCGGGAGGUUGUCCAGAGAUGCAGUGGAUGCCCUGUUGUUGGAGAAACUCACGGUCAGGCUGGACGGGCCUCUGAGCACCAUGAUGGAGCUGUAGGUGUCCUUAUUCAUUGCAGGGGAGUUGGACUAGAUGACCUUUAAGGGUCCCUUCCAACUCGAACAAUUUUAUGUUAAUAUAGAUAAUCAGAUUAAAUAAUACAUAGCUGUAUAUACACUAAUAUCUGUAUGUUAACCAGAAUAUGAAGGAGGUAAUAAACAGUAAUUUUCUGGUGGUUAUAAAAAGUCAGGUACUACCAGAAUUUAAAAAAGGAGAAAUGCUUAAUAAUUAGAUUAGCAAGAAAAAUCUUUUUAAUACUGUCAGAAUCAGGAGAACUCUGCUAUCUUAUAAACCUGAAAGCACAACUGAUAAUGCAGUUAUCAUUGCAGAGCUAGAGAUGAUGCACGAGAGAUAAUCCAGUAUGUAGGACUGCACGUUUUUAGUUGUCUGCUCUGUUUCUGUGCAGUAAUUUGUACCAAAGAUGGUGAGAUGAUUGGACAGCACUUCAAAUUCUUCUCGUUAGUUAAAAUAUGAAGCAGAUUAACAAUAUUAUUGUUAUAACGGUGUACAAAUGAAAAUGCAGUACACUACAACCAUUGUCCACUACUGCAUAUGAAACAUGGCAUAGUGGGAAUAUCCCAAGAGCUAAAUUAGCCUGCUGAAGUGCCUUUCUCUUUCAUCAGACUUAUUUUAUCAGUGGGACACCUGACUAUCCGAGAAGCACAGGUAUGUGGUUUUUUUUUUUCUGUUAGCCAAAAGCCCCAAUUCAAACGUUCAGUUGUGUAGUUUUUAUAAUGUUUUCAAAGGCAGAUCUAGUGUUUUUAUGUUGGAAUACUGACUUGUGCAUGUUGAUGAUGAUGACUGUUGUACACCCUGUCUUUUUUGUAUUUUAUGUUUGAAAAGAAAUUAAAGAAGUAUAUCUUUAGCAAUCUGAACAGUAGUAUCUUUUAAAAACCACGUACGGAAUCCAACUCAACUCAGUAAGUCAGAAUGAAGCAUCUUGGAAAUCACUAGACUUACGGGUCUGAAACUGGGCUUUUUAACUUCAGAAAUGAAAUUAUUAUGUUUUUAACAUACAAACUGUGAUGAUGAUAGAAAGCCAUUGUCCAUUGCUAAUCCUCAUUGGCAGUAGGAGGUAUAUUGAGUUAGGUGUAUUGAGGUUUUUCUUGUGUUUUAAAACCAACGUGUAUCUCAUUUUGAGGCCUAACCUGCGUUGUUUACAGAACCCAAGCUUCUCCAUUGAUUUGUUUUUUCUUUUUUUUUUUUGUAAUUUGGUGCAGUUGUACACAUGCAAAACACAGUGAUAGGCCUAUAGAGUUACAAAUGAGCAUUCUUUUAUAGAACUCUUACUAACUUGUGCCACAGUUCUAACAGAGGACAGGUAUGUUUCUCUUAAAGAAUUCAUACUAAAAGUGGGUUAAGAGAUUUUAAUCUGGACUUUGUUAUAUUUUAAAAGCAGUAUUCGGUGUGUUCUGCUUAUUAAAAGACAAAUAUUACUUAAGAUUCAAGACUGGCAGAAGAAAUCUGUGUUUAAAGUCUUUACUUUUAACCUUCAGCCUGAAAUUGUCUUACAGAAUGAAACUUUUUCCAGACAAUUUACAAUUAUGGAACAUUUCUAUACUUGCAUCUGUCCAGAAAGUGUACUGGUACAUUUUUCCUCAGUUUAGUUUUUCAGUUCCUUUGAAGCACUUGCUGCACUUCAGUCCACGUUAGAACAGUACUAUUUUCACAACAUCUUGCUACUCUGCAUGAAGAUACUGUUUAGUGCACAACUCAUGGAGGCUGUAGAACGUUGUUGAAGUACCAAAACGUAGGUGAGCUGAUGGUUGUGGUCAUCUCCUUGCAUGUUGGAGCUUUACACUCAGCAGGCACUUCAUUACCUUGGCAAUCAUUUUAAAAAACGUUGAAGAACAGCUGAGGUGUUCAUUUACAACAUUCCUCAUGUUCAGCACCCAGGUUUUAAGUGUUUUUACCUUUUUAUAUUUUAUCAGAGGUGUCUUUUAAUCUCUAUUUAUUACAGUAUCAGUGAAUAUGUUGCUGAAAAUGUAACUAAGACCUGUAAAAUGUUAGAGCUUAUGCAAUAUAAUAAAAUAGUUAAAAG